GACGGACUAAAAUUACCUUCUUUAAUAGCGGUCAUGGGAGACGAGGCGUAUGAACCAUUAAAAAAAUUAUCAAGCGCCAAAACACUAGCUGAGAUGGAAUAUUCGGUGACGGUAUCGAUAGUGAAAAAUCAUCUACAACCGAGAGCGUUGCCGGUUUAGGCAAAGACGUAAGUCAGGCUAUCGGCGAGAACGUUGCGAGUUAUAUAGAUGAACUGAAGGGGUUGGCGCGUCACACGAUAGCAAAAAUACCAUUAUUUCAGAAGAAUAUAUAAAUAAUGAACUAAGACGGUCGAUAGAAGUAAACGAAGAGGCAUUAAAAUUCUGCGAUUAAUCAAGUUUUAGACACAACUUUAUCCAUUAGAAAAUCGACAUAAAACCAACAACUCUCCAAAGUCAUUUUACAAGAAUAUAUAAAAAGGCUGGGAAAACGGGGAAAAUCAAAGACAUAAAAUUGUUGAAAUACUCUUCUCUCUGAAUAUAUUAUGUAGAUCGAUAGAAAAAGAAAACCAAAGGAGUUGAAGAGAAAAUAAAAAGAGAGAUAUAAAUAAUACUAUUAGCACACAAAUUUAGUAGAAUAAGUUAGUAAGGUAAUGAUAAUAAACAUCGUUAAAACUGAAACUCUGUAAAGUGUAUAAAUAAAUAAAUAACUAAAUAAAAUGUAUUAGAAUUAAGAAAAUAAGAUGUAAAUAAAAAGAAAAGGCCUCUCACAAUAAUUCAUAAAUCAUGUAAUAAAUAAAUAGAACAAAAAGGAAACCCCGCUUUGUUUUACUAUCCCAUAACUUAGGUAAAAUGAAAAAUAUUAAAAUAAAUAUAAUAGCUUAGAUAAAAAAUAAAAA